AACGAACGCUGGCGGCAUGCCUAACACAUGCAAGUCGAACGAGACCUUCGGGUCUAGUGGCGCACGGGUGCGUAACGCGUGGGAACCUGCCUUGAGGUUCGGAAUAACUUCCCGAAAUGGAUGCUAAUACCGGAUGAUGUCUUCGGACCAAAGAUUUAUCGCCUUUAGAUGUGCCCGCGUUGGAUUAGCUAGUUGGUGGGGUAAAGGCCUACCAAGGCGACGAUCCAUAGCUGGUCUGAGAGGAUGAUCAGCCACACUGGGACUGAGACACGGCCCAGACUCCUACGGGAGGCAGCAGUGGGGAAUAUUGGACAAUGGGCGAAAGCCUGAUCCAGCAAUGCCGCGUGAGUGGUGAAGGCCUUAGGGUUGUAAAGCUCUUUUACCAGGGAUGAUAAUGACAGUACCUGGAGAAUAAGCUCCGGCUAACUCCGUGCCAGCCGCCGCGGUAACAC
rnacentral:rRNA from 1 species